rnacentral:rRNA from 1 species
AUGAACGCUGGCGGCGUGCCUAAUACAUGCAAGUCGAGCGAACGGACGAGAAGCUUGCUUCUCUGAUGUUAGCGGCGGACGGGUGAGUAACACGUGGAUAACCUACCUAUAAGACUGGGAUGACUUCGGGAAACCGGAGCUAAUACCGGAUGAUAUUUUGAACCGCAUGGUUCAAAAGUGAAAGACGGUCUUGCUGUCACUUAUAGAUGGAUCCGCGCUGCAUUAGCUAGUUGGUAAGGUAACGGCUUACCAAGGCAACGAUGCAUAGCCGACCUGAGAGGGUGAUCGGCCACACUGGAACUGAGACACGGUCCAGACUCCUACGGGAGGCAGCAGUAGGGAAUCUUCCGCAAUGGGCGAAAGCCUGACGGAGCAACGCCGCGUGAGUGAUGAAGGUCUUCGGAUCGUAAAACUCUGUUAUUAGGGAAGAACAUAUGUGUAAGUAACUGUGCACAUCUUGACGGUACCUAAUCAGAAAGCCACGGCUAACUACGUG